rnacentral:lncRNA from 1 species
ACUUGGUGGAUUAAGACUUCUGACGAUUUGUAUACUUGGAAGGCUGAUUUAAGUGCUCGAAUUGUAUAGAUUACCGUUCAUUCAUAUGUAUCUUUUAUAUGACAGAUUUCUCCUGUUAAUUUCAUGUUUAGCUUGCUAAUGUAUACGUUAGUUUAUAUGUUUGGCCACGUAGUAGCAGCAUUUGAAACUUGGUGGAUUAAGGACUUCUGACGAUUUGUAUAACUGGACUGUUCUUUCCCUAAUGUACUAGUUUGUUUUCAGUUAGAGUAUUUUGACUAGUUGGAACUUAAAGGAAUGCUAAUUGGAAUUACAGUGUUAGUGCAUAUGUAGGCUCAUGACUUCUGUUGAUCAAGUGACUAGUCAUGUAUUUCAUUAAGCUUGAGAAUUUAAUAGCUCCACAUGAUUUGCUUUCAGUGGUGUAUUUCAGGCCGAGUAGUUGUUAGCAUGUAAAAUAAUCUCAACAGUCUUCAAUUUCAAUUUAUGCCUUAUGUAAAUUAGAUUUAAGUCAUGUCAUUAGCUCAUCAAUUGCAGCAUUACGCGUUCUAAAAUCAGUUAGCAUAGCAAUAUAAAUUUCAAUUUAGUUCAAAAUAAAACUUGAACUGCCCUGGCCAUAAUUUUAGGCCUAAAUUGGCCCAAUCACAUGCUGCCCAGAACGUCAUAUAGCCCAUCUCAGGCUGUUUAAUUCCACUAAAGUGGAGGCUGGUCCAUAUACGGGCUUAAAGCCCAGAUUAAUAGCUUUAUUUUGUAUUGGGCGCGCUGAAGGUUUAAUCUACUCAUUAAAGUUUUGGAAGUGUUGGUGGUAAAUAAUUUGAAGCAUAAAUUUCGGCCUUUGCAUUUGGUAGCGAAUUCUGAUUAAGAGGUUUUCCCCUCUUGUUUGAGUCCGACUUGAACUUGAAGCUCGAAUUUUAUAAUGCUAAUAAAUUAAGUCCUUUAGAGAUAAAUUCAAUAUAAAAUAAUAGUUUGCUCUAGGUUGGCAUUUUUAAAAAUAAAACGAGGUGUGUCGCGCCAAAUAAAACUCACAAAUUGUGUGGCCCUCAUUAAAUGUUUAUAUUAAAAUACUUAGAAUUCGGGAUGUGCCGUUUGAAAAUUUUUACAGCCUCCCGCAAAGUUGAUACCACGUUAGUCCUUUAGGCGCGCUUUUAAUAAUUUUACCUUUUUAAAUAUGGGUAUGCAUUUUAUGUGACCCAAAUCCAAAUCCCAAAACGUUGGAUAAAAUGUGUGAAGGAUCCGGGUGCAUUUCAUGUUUCAUGAUCCAAAAACAUGUUUUAAACGGCAUUCAAUUUCCUAAAAAUUAUUAAUUUAAAGUGGUAAAUAAUCCUAAAAAUGGAACUAUAGGAUUACAUGUAUUAAAAUCCGAUUUUUGGCUAAUUAUAACAGUUUAAGUGACCGUGCUAGAACCACGGGAUACGGGGGUGCCUAACACCUUCCCUCAGGUCAACAAAAUUCCUUACUCAAGAAUUUCUGGUUCGCAAACUCCAAUUGGGCAGUCGAAAAAUUUUCCUCAAUUUGGGAUUCGAAAAUAAACCGGUGACUUGGGACACCAAAAGCCAAACCUAUCCCAAGUGGUGGCUCUUAUAAAAUACUUAAUCCGAUUUCGUUUGGGAAGUCAAAAAAUUUCCUCGAUUUGGGAUUCAAAACAAACCGGUGACUUGGGACACCAAAAGCCAAACCUAUCCCAAGUGGCGACUCUGAACAAAUAAAUAAUCCCAUUUCGAAUAAUGUCACUUAAAUUAAAAAAACUCCCGUAUACAUUUACCCAUCGGGGUAGCCAUGUAAAAAGGAGGUGUGACAGCUUUGGUGACUCUGCUGGGGAUGAACCCAGAAUCUCUGAUUCAGGGUUUAAGAAUUCGAGCUUAGAAUAGCUGUUAUGAUUGGCUUUUAUCUGAUUUCCUACAUAUUUCAUCCUAAUGUACUAAAUGCUAUACUGCUUCGAUAUUUGGUGUAUUGUACAUAUAAACUGCUGCGAAACCCUUCCUCCCUCUAAGUCUUCUGAAAAUGGUGCAUAUGUUCGCGUAACCUGAUUUUUUUGUAGAAAAUAUACCAAAUAAGAAGGGGCUGGGCAAGCAACAAGGCCGGGCAGACUUUCGUGCUCCCGGUAUGUUUCACCUUCCUCGGCCCCAGUUGUCUGUUCGGGUACCACAGGUCUAGAACAAUAAACCCAGGUUUCAAAUCUUGGAUAACUCGACCUCAUGUUGGAUCCCUAGCAGGAAUGUUUGUUUGCAUCAUCUGCAUUUGACUUAGGGGACUCAAUACAGGGGUUGGGUCCGUCUACGACAGGUGUACCCAAAUUAAAGGACCAUCCUGAUGCAUCUUACAUGCUACUCGUGCAUUUAUUUGCUCGGCUUUGCAUGUUGACUGGCUUGUAAAUAAUGGGAGAAAUUUGAAAAGAAAAAGAGAGAAUUUAGAAAAUCUGUCAAAUCUGCCCGAACUAUGCUAGUUUGAUUCUUGCCGGAUGUAGGAUACGUAGGCAAACUCCAUCGGGUCCAACUUCCCUUUUUGAAUAAUAUAACCCGAAAAGCAACAAAAUUUUACUUUGUUUCGCCACAAAUAAGUCAGGUGAUGCCAUUCUUGUCUUGAAAAAAAAACUAAAUGAUGUAAUUUUCUUCCUUCGGGGUCACAAUCAGUUUUUUUCAAAUCACCCGUAAUAAAUGUGUAGGAUGAGGACAAAUGAAAUUGAACCCUUCACGACCCUUAAAAAGAUCCCUUGAAGCUCCAUAUAUGGUGGGAUGACUUAGGAACGGGCAGAAAAGAAAUAGUGAAAAGAGUCCUGGGAGGCCUCGUCGAUUUAUUAAAAGUCAAGCCAAGGUUGGACAUAGUUGAUGCUUGAUACCCUUUUGGGACCCCACUCACAAUGUAUUUUAUUUCUCUGAUUUUAAGCUCACACCGACGUUGGAAGAAAUAGGUGGUUAUGCCGGCUUAAAUGAAAAUCUCAGAAGCCUCUAUCCGUUGGCACCAAGAUCGGCAACUACCCACAGAUUCCUAGACUUGUUAAGUAUUAGUCGGAAUGUUCGGGGCAGAAAUAUAUCGAAAGGGUAUUGCACACUCUAGUUCAUGUAUCAUCGAUAUGGAAACCCCUAAGGUUUUGAAGAGCCGAACACCGGCCUAACCCAUGCUGGAAAUAGAGACAAGUGGGAGGCAAAGCGGGGCUUAGCUUUCAUGGUAGCUUUCUUAGGAGUUGUGGCUUGUCCUCGAAGAGAUGAUCAUAUAGAGAUCGACCAUGUAAAAAUGUUGGAUGUCGCAAUCAAAAACGCUACCAGUAUGGUGGUUCCGCUAAUUGUGUCUGAAAUCUAUCGAGCCCUCACGAUAUGCCGAGAAGGGGGAAAAUUCUUCCAAGGCUGCAAUUUGUCGCUACAACUAUGGAUACAAGAGCAUCUCUGUCACCAAACUGGGUAUGUGAGUUAUGGUUUGACCGGGUGGAGCUGUAUUGAAGAAUUUAAUACCCGGGUAAUAGGUAUUGACUUCCCUGAGGGCACCGAGGCUUGGAUAUCAUGUUUGAGAUCUUUGACCACUGAUAAAAUCGAGUGGGUUUUUGUAUGGCUCCCUGGUUCUGAGGCAGUAUGCACAUCAGCUGAAGUACCUUAUAUUCUCUUGAUGGGCAUCUGGAGCAUCCAGCCUUAUGCUCCCUACAGGGGUUUUCACCUACUGGGAAGAUUCCAAACCAAUCACAGUGAUGAAGACAUGAGUAAACAACUCAUCGAACUAGGCCCAAAGGCCGCAUUCCCAGAAGGAAAGAUUUGCCAAACAUGGAAUAAGUGCAGGUUUCUUGAGCUUAAAACCAUAGUGCGAGAUUGAGCCAGGGGCGAAGUAGACUCCAAGUACAUGGUUUGGUUUAGCGAGAGGUUCCAGGUUCCUCAAAGGCCCGCAAAGAGGCCACAUGUCACUGAUGUGGAUCAGGUGCAAUGGGAUUGGUUAGCCAAAAAGAGUGAAUACAGGAUCAGAAUAGGAGAGUUGGAAAAGCAUAUUCGGGACCUCCAGUUCCAAAACAGCUUGCAAGCCACAACUGACGAAGGUGAAUAGAAGAAUUUGACCCAAGAAAACGAGGCUCUUAGGGCUCAGAUCCGACAAACGAAAAUAUUUGCUAACAACAAAGAAAAAAGCCGGGCCGAUGAAAUAUUGAUAAGCGGACUGAAAAGGCAAGUCUCAGAGUGGCAACAAGACUUGGAAAAUUCAAAGAGAAUAUAGCAAAAAUCUAGGCGCAAUGGGCAAAUAAAGCAGAAGAUCGGGUCCAAUGGGUGCGACAGAUGAAGAGAAAUUAUGAAAGGUCUAUUGCCAAUCUGAAAAGAAAAAGUGAACACCCUUGAGGACGAGGUAACUAAGAAAGCCAAAGAAUUUAAAACUGAUAGGGAACACUGCAAUGACUUGAUGGCCCAAAUGGAGGAGGAACUACAACAGUUACAAACUCAACACUUUCGAGACUCUCAAGUUCUGGAAGCCAGGAAUGACCAUAUAGGGCGACUGCUUCAAGAAAAGGGUAGAAUCAGAGAGAGGAUCCUGGCCAUUGCUCAUUACAUCACUAUGAAACGCCAAGCGUGCGAUGACAUGACUCGCACCACCUUUUUUUUCGGCAGUAAUGAUAUUUUUCAAACAGAAUGAGCGACUCGGAUAGGCUUCAACGGGAUCUUGCAUAUAGGCCCGCGACGAGAUCGAACGAUGUCCCGCAGGCACCAGGAAUUUUAAUGUAUUCAUGAUUUUCAUAUUGAGUCUGUAUUUCCUUCAGAGUCUGUACUUUUUCUCCGCUAGAGUUUGUCAAGUUGUUCAAAUCUGCAUUUUCUUUUGAAGAAAGUUAUUUGAAUUUGGAGUCUGUAUUUAGCUUGUUCAUGAUUUAAUAUGUUAGCAUUGAGUCUUUGUAAUCAAAGUAUUUGCCAUCUAUGAAAUUCAAAAAUCUCAAAAUAUUUUGUUUCUAUUCACAUUUAUUUAUCACGAACUACGCUCGGUUUGAUUCAUGUGGGGUCAUGAUACGUAGGCAAUCUUCAUAGGGUUCGACCUUAACCCUAAAAAGAGAAAAAGAAAGAAAAAUAAAAGAGGGAAAUGAUAAGAAAAAAGAAAGAAAAGAGAGGAAAGAAAAUAAGACUGAAACAUGAAAAAAAGAAAAUGAGAAGAUCGAGAGAGAUAGAGAGAUUAGGGAAAAAGAAAAGGCAAACAAAAAAGAAAAGAAAAGAAACAAGAGAGAAAAUCAAGUGGGUGAGGAAAGCCGAGAUGACGCAUGCAAUCAAUGCAAAUCAUGUAGAAACUCAUUUAACUGUAUAGGUGCAUCAGACCCCAACGUGCGAUUACCUGUCUGUUAUUUGUCUCAAACUAAUCGUUUGCUAAUGUCAAUUCCUAGUCCCAGUCUGGGUUUUAUUGAAACGGUGUUUAGUUCUUGGUACACUGGCUUCACAUCCCUACUUCACCAGAUUAAAGGGCAGCAUAGAAAUGUCUUCAGAAAUCACUUUGCCAGUAAUUCCUAUCACGGACGAAAGCCCAACCUUAGGCAUUCCGGCAUCAGAGUUCGCAACCACUGAGGAGAAUCAGUUAUUGCGUCUCCGCAUGAUAGAGAUGUGGGACGCCUGGUCGAAUAGGAAAGAGCUGCCUAGUGCAAUUCUUGAGCUUUUCCCUAGAAUGAGGGGAACGUCCACCGUCCUAAUCAGUCAUCCAAGCAUCCCACUAGGACACCCAACCAUCUCGGCUCAUUUUGUGGGAGCACCUUCAGAGGUUCAUCCCCAGACAGCUAUAUCUAAUGCAAUCCCAAACAUCUAUACUACCCCACCAUGCGCAGCUAUAACACAACCCACAUUGCCAAGGCCUGUCUUUGGUCCAUCAACUUUCACAUUUCAAACACUCACUCCCUAAAUGGAGCCUCCUCAGUAUCCCAACUAUACUUAUUCACAGCCACAUCCAUUUGAGUUCACAACGGGACAGGAAAAGACCUCGAAAACUCCGGAACAUGAAGAAAUGGAAAACGAGAAUGAGGAAUCUGGAGCAAAGCCUCAAAAACAUGCAGGGGUUAAGUGGACAGAAAAGUGUAUUUUUGCAUGUUCCCUCAUGUGCAGCUACCGGUAGGAUUCAAAACUCCGAAGUUCGAAAAGCACGAUGGGCAUGGUGAUCCUAUUGCUCAUCUUAAGAAAUAUUGUAACCAAUUGCGCGGAGCUGGAGAAAAAGAAGAAUGGCUAAUGGCUAACUUUGGGGAAAGCUUAGUGUGUAUCGCCUCCAAAUGGUAUAUGGAUCAGGAUAUCUCUAGGUGGCACAUCUGGGAUGAUCUUGCAAGAGACUUAGUUUGGCAGUUCCAAUACAAUAUUCACAUUGCUCCAGGCUGGAACUCGCUGGCGAAUCUAAAGAAGAAGCCUUUAGAAAGUUUUCGCGAAAAUGCGAUCAAAUGGCAGGAACAAGCAUCAAGGGUAAAACCUCCAAUGGAUGAAGUGGAGAUGGUCAAUGUAUUUCUUCAGGCUCAGGAGGCCGAUUAUUUCCAAACUAUGAUGUCAGCCAUGGGCAAGCCAUUUGCAGAAGCCAUUAAAAUUGGUGAGACGGUAUAGAAUGGACUGAAAACUGGAGGGAUUUUGAGCCAAUCAGCUAUUAGGGUGACCUCCCAAGCCAUCCCAGGUAGGUAUAGAGGGAUGACAAAAAGCAAUAAGAAAGAAGAAACAACCAUGGCGGCAUCAGGUACAAGGAGACACUGCACUCCUAGACCCAUGUUCUCAAAUGGACUCCUCCCCCCGUCUACGACAGGUGUACCCAAAUUAAAGGACCAUCCUGAUGCAUCUUACAUGCUACUCGUGCAUUUAUUUGCUCGGCUUUGCAUGUUGACUGGCUUGUAAAUAAUGGGAGAAAUUUGAAAAGAAAAAGAGAGAAUUUAGAAAAUCUGUCAAAUCUGCCCGAACUAUGCUAGUUUGAUUCUUGCCGGAUGUAGGAUACGUAGGCAAACUCCAUCGGGUCCAACUUCCCUUUUUGAAUAAUAUAACCCGAAAAGCAACAAAAUUUUACUUUGUUUCGCCACAAAUAAGUCAGGUGAUGCCAUUCUUGUCUUGAAAAAAAAACUAAAUGAUGUAAUUUUCUUCCUUCGGGGUCACAAUCAGUUUUUUUCAAAUCACCCGUAAUAAAUGUGUAGGAUGAGGACAAAUGAAAUUGAACCCUUCACGACCCUUAAAAAGAUCCCUUGAAGCUCCAUAUAUGGUGGGAUGACUUAGGAACGGGCAGAAAAGAAAUAGUGAAAAGAGUCCUGGGAGGCCUCGUCGAUUUAUUAGCCCAACCUUUUGCAUGGCCACAACAGCAUGCCAACAGAAACCAAGCCUCGUAUCCCAGAAAUCAGCCUCCUCUACGAAAUCACUGUAAUCAUCGCCUUCCACAUAAUAAUUUUCCUCGUGAGCUGUCCAGGAGGCAAACGUUUACUCCAAUUGAUGAGUCCUACUCAAAUCUGUUUCCAAAAUUGGUCCAAAUGGGUUUGUUGCAACCCGUUCCCUAGACAAGACAAAACCUAACAUCACCCGUAUAUAGAGCCGGCGUCAGAUGUGCCUAUCAUUCAGGGGUACAAGGGAACGACAUGGAUGAUUGUUGGACCCGGAAAAGAGAUAUGGAGAACCUGAUAGAGCAAGGAAAAAUAGUUCUAAGGGAUGAGGAUGUCCCCAACGUAACUAAUAAUCCAUUUCCAUCCCACAACAACGGGCUCGUGAUUGGGAUGAUUGUUGAAGAUAAAGAACUUGAUCCCACGCUAAUAGCCAUAAUCACCAUCGUAGAUGCAAAGAAAAGGACAAAAAGCGCUCCAAAGCAAGAUAAAGAGGAAAAUAAGGGCAAAGUCAUCAACACAGAACCAGAAAAGAAAGUUGAAGUAAGCAGGGAGGUGAUGCCUCCCACAGAUGGGAUCCUUUAUGAGCCACGAGACCGAAAAGAGAAGCAUCAAACUUUAAUCCCUUUGAAGAGGUUUGAACUAAAUAAGGCAACCCAAAUGUACGUACCCAAAUGGGCAUAUGUGGUACGGGGGACAAUUAAGCCAUUGAGGCCAAACGAGCCCGUGGUUAUUGGACGUGUACCACAACAUCCAAUGUCAGACCCUACUGCAGUGCCAUGCAAUUAUCAUAAAACAAAGAUCACGUACAAAGGCAAAGAAAUUUCAGGGGAGCCUCAAGAAAACCAUCCUAAGAAGUACUCUAACAUAGAAGAGGUAAACAAUGCUACUAGAAAGUGCUUCCCGUCCAAGAAAUCUAUAAGUCCUGAAGAGGCAGAAGCUUUCUUCUAGAAAAUGAAGAUGAUAGACUACGAAGUGGUUGAUUAGCUACACAAUUAUCCUGAACAAAUGUCGUUGCUCUCAUUGCUGAUGAAGUCUCCUGAACAUUAAAAGGUUUUAAUGAAGACCCUGAAUGAAGCCUAUGUGCCAGCUGAAACGAAAGUGGAACAGUUAGAAAGAAUGGCAGAAAAAAUUCUUCGGCAUCAAUCAAAUUGCAUUCAGCAAGGCUGAUUUGCCCCCGGAUGGGGCCGCUCACAACAAAGCGUUGCAUUUAACUAUAAAAUGUGUGGGGUAUUAUGUGAAGAGAGUCAUGGUAGACAGAGGCUUAGGAGUAGACAUUUGCCCACUCUCUACACUCCAGCGGAUGGAAAUAGGGACGGUAAGGAUCCGCCCCAAUAAUGUUUGUGUGCAAGGUUUUGACGGUAUUAAGAGGGACACAAUCGGGGAAAUUGAUCUGAUUCGGACCAUUCGCCCGGUGGAUUUUGAAGUAACCUUCCAAGGGUUGGACAUGGACACAUCCUACAACUACCUUCUAGGGAGGCCUUGGAUCCACACAGCCAGAGUUGUACCCUCUACUCUCCAUCAAAUGUUGAAAUAUGAGCAUGAAAAUCAAGAGAUUGUAGUCCACGGAGAGGAUGAACAAUCAAUCUAUCGGGACUCAUCUGUCCCAUGUCUUGAGGCAAGAGAGGGCAGUGAGCACAUAGUGUAUCAGGCUUUUGAAAUUGUGGUAGCCGACCAUCAUGAAAAAGGAAAACCCUGCCCUCAACCCUUCCUCUCCAAUGCGUCCCUCAUGGUGGCCAAAGAGAUGAUACGACACAGAUAUAAGCUAGGAAAAGGGUUGGGAAGAACUCUGCAAGGGGUGGUCGAUCCAAUCACCUUGCCUACUACUGAGAACUUCUUUGGUUUAGGUUUCCAUCCGACUCCGAAUGAUAGGAAAUGGGCAAGAGAGAGACAGCGCAAGGGGUGGGUCCUACCUCAACAACUGCCACAUUUGUAUGAAACCAUUGUCAAACCAAAGUAUAGUGAAGAAGAUGAGGAGGAUGAGGUCUUCACGGCUGAAGAGAUUGAAGAGAUAUAUGGUGCGAUGAGAGAACUGCUAUAUGAAGCCCACAUGGUUCAAUCGGGAGAGGGAACAAGCACUGCUGAUUUAUCAGUUCCUUGGCCAUUCGCAUCUUGGGGCAUGGACGUUAUUGGGCUGAUUGAGACAAAAGCCUCAAAUGGGCACAGAUUCAUACUGGUUGCCAUUGAUUAUUUCACAAAAUGUGUCAAAGCCAUCACUCUUAAAUUGGUGACCAAGAAAGUUGUGGUGGAUUUUGCGCAUGCUAAUCUCAUUUACCAUUUUGGCAUCCCAGCCACUAUAAUCACGGACAACGCUGCAAACUUGAAUAGCCGAUUAAUGGGAGAGAUAUGCAUACAAUUCAAAAUAACAUCGAACCUCCACACCCUACCGGCCCAAAGCCAAUGGUGUUGUUAAAGCUGCAAACAAAAAUAUCAAGAAAAUUUUGAGAAAGAUGAUUCAAAACUCCCGGAAAUGGCAAGAUACCUUUUGCAAUAUUGGGAUAUCGCACAAUCGUGCGCACAUCAAAUGGAGCAACUCUUUAUCUUUUGGUCUACGGAACUGAGGCAGUAAUACCUGCGGAAGUGGAAAUCCCGUCUCUCCGAAUCAUUUUUGAAGCUGAGAUUGAAGACACUGAGUGGGUCAAGACUUGUCUGAAUAGUUGGCCCUAAUUGAUGAAAAACGAAUGGAUGCGGUCUACCACGGGCAGUUGUACCAACAAAGAAUGGCUCGUGCUUAUAACAAGAAAGUACGCCCCGGGAAUUUUGAGAUUGUACAGCUUGUAUUAAGGCCCAUUCUCCCUCACCAUCAGGAAGCGAAAGGUUAAUUUGCUCCGAAUUGGAAAGGCUCGUACAUCAUCAGAAAGAUAUUACCGAAAGAAGCAUUGUACCUGGUCGACAUUGAAGGGGGUGAUCCCGAAGUAGCAGUGAAUGCAGACACAGUAAAAAGGUACUAUGUUUAGGCUCCUUGUGACAAUGAUCAGUCAGGUUGAGAUGAUGAAGGCUUUUAUUCUCGCUACCCAAACACUUUCAACCUUGGUAAACCAAUUUGAGCUGGUUACUUUUCUUUGACCACCCUCUUUGGAACCUGGAAAUGUAAUUCAAAAAUAAAAAAAUAAAAAAACAAAAAGAAAAACAAAAGAAAGAAAAAGAAAGAAAAAGAAAAAUGAGAAACAAAAAAACAUUUAUAGUUUAGGAAACACUCCUGAACUACGUCUGACUUGAUUCCGAAAGGAUACGUGGGCAGCCUCUUUGUGGGGUUCAGUCACACCGAAAUAAAAAUCCAAAAUCCCCAAAGAAGUGAAAUUGUGGCAGAUGAUUUAAUGGCUCAGCCACUAGCCCACCAAAAUGGUCCCAAAAUUGUAAUUCAAUCCAAAAUGCUUUUUACCCAAAAGUCCUUGUUCAAGUCUUUCCGAUCGAUUGGCAAAGGCAUGGGAGUUUGAAAACCAUCACUGUUGGAAUUUAGUGCAGUCCAAAUUUAGAGAAAUAAAAUGAGAGAGUCUUAUCGGUAAAAACCUAUUGGCACCAUAAGGCGACGGUGAGUAGAGAAAUGGAAAAUGAGAGAGUUCGUUCGGUGAAAACUCAUCAAAAGCACCAUCGGGCGACGGUGAGAAGAGAAAUGAGAGAGGUCGAUUGGAGAAAACCCGCAAAGGGCAUCGUCGGCCGAAAAGAAGGCACCUCCCAUCACUGAAGGAGUCUUAGAAAGGUUUCUUGAUUUUGAAAAAAGGGUCAAUGAGCUUAUGAGAAGUUGAGGAAGCUUGUGCGGGUCGGCCAUCCAGUCCAAGGGGCAUGUCAUGUCCAUUUGAAGCUUGCAUGCAUUCCCCAGAUAAAUCCUUCUUUUUCCUUGAGAGGGACGCUUCUAUUUAAAUUCAUCUCCUUUCUCUCCAUUUACCCUAAAUCCCUUUCGGUCUAACUCUGAUUCCAGAACAAUUACAAAGAAAAGGUAGCAGGACUGGUUUACAGGGCCCUACCCAGCAAAAGUUAAGGAAAGAUACCCAGCCUCAGCAAGUGCAUUAAGCCGAUCCCUAACUGCCAUGAUGGUUGAUGCUUUCGAAGAAAAGAUAUGGAAAAGGAAAGAAUGUCCAAAGACAAAGGUCAUAAGAGCAGAAUAAAGUAAAAAGCCAGAGCCCUAUGCAGGCGAGUUGUCAUGAAAUUUGAAAGGUUGAGGCCCUUGGCUCGAAAGAGAAGAUGAUCUUCAAAACCAACAAGCAACAACUCCCAAUAGAAGUUGGGCCAGGAUCAAGCGAUCGAGGCCACAGAACCAACAACCGUUUCAAACUAACAAUUGUUCUUUUUUGAAAAUUGAAACAAGUGCGAUAUAAACAACCGUUCAAAAGAAGGUGCAGUCAAAAAGAGAAUGGCACUGAAACAACUUUGUAGCAAGUAAUAAAUACAAAAGGGAAGUUUCAUCCAAGUUCUUUCCUAAUCUUAUCAAAAUAAAAGGGAGAAAGAAGAUAACAAAAGAAGAAAACCCAAAAGAGCAUAUUGUAGAAUAAGAAUAAAGUGAAAAGCCAGAGCCCUGUGCGGGUGAAUUGUCAUGAUAUCUUGAAGGUUGAGGCUCUUGGCUCGAACGAGAGGAUGAUCUUCAAAACCAGCUAGUAGCAGAGGUUCAACAGAAGUUGGGCUGGGAUCAAGCAAUCAAGGCCACAGAACCAACCACCGUUUCAAACUAACAAUUGUUCUUUAUUGAAAAUUGAAAUAGGUGUGAUACGAGCAACCGUGCAAAAUCAGGUGAAAUCAAAAGAAAAUACGCGAGAGUUGAAGUAGCUUCGCAGCAAAUAAUCAAUGCAAAAGGGAAGCUUCAUCCAAGUUCUUUCCUGCAUCUUAUCAAAAUAAAAGGAAGAAAUAAGAUAACAAAAAAAGAAAACCCAAAAUAAAUAGUUUAGAAUUCCCAAUACCAACCUUUAGCCAACAUUAGGGCCCCAAUCCCUAAGUUGAGCGUUUUCCUUUUAGCCAACAUUAGGGCUCCAAUCCAUGAGUUGAGUGUUUUUCCUUUUAGCCAACAUUAGGGCUUUAAUCCCUGAGUUGAGAGUUUUUCCUUUUAGCCAACAUUAGGGCUCCAAUCCCUGAGUUGAGCAUUUUUCCUUUUAGCCAACAUUACGCUUCCAACCCAUGAGUUGAGCAUUUUUCUCUUUAGCCAACAUUAGGACUCCAAUCCCUAAGUGGAGCGUUUUCCUUUAGCCGACAUUAGGGCUCCAAUCCCUGAGUUGAUUGUUUUUCCCUUUAGCCAACAUUAGGGCUCCAAUCCCUGAGUUGAGCGUUUUCCCUUAGCUAACAUUAGGGCUCCAAUCCCUGAGUUGAGCAUUUUCCUUUGGCCACUAUUAGGGCUCCAAUCCCUGAGUUGAGCGUUUUCCCCUUAGCCAACAUUAGAGCUCCAAUCCCUGAGUUGAGCGUUUUUCCCUUUAGCUGACAUUAGGGCUCCAAUCCCUGAGUUGAGCGUUUUCCCUUAGCUAACAUUAGGGCUCCAAUCCCUGAGUUGAGCAUUUUCCUUUAGCCACUAUUAGGGCUCCAAUCCCUGAGUUGAGCGUUUUCCCCUUAGCCAACAUUAGAGCUCCAAUCCCUGAGUUGAGCGUUUUUUCCUUUUGCCAACAUUAGGGCUCCAAUCCCUGAGUUGAGUGUUUUUUCCUUUAGCCAUCGUUAGGGCUCCAAUCCCUGAGCUGAUCGUUUUUCUCUAUAGCCAACAUUAGGGCUCCUAUCCCUGAGUUGAGCGGUAUUUCCCCUUAGCCGACAUUAGGGCUCCAACCCCAGUUGAGCAUUUUUUCCUUUAGCUGACAUUAGGGCUCCAAUCCUAGAGUUGAGCAUUUUCCCUUAGCCAACAUUAGGGCUCCAAUCCCUAAGUUGAGCGUUUUCCCUUAGCCAACAUUAGGGCUCCAAUCCCUGAGUUGAGCGUUUUCCCCUUUGGCCGGUAUUCAGGCUCCAAUUCCUGAGUUGAGCAUUUUUUCCUUUAACCAACAUUAGGGCUUCAAUUCCUGAGUUGAGCGUUUUUCCUUUUAGCCAACAUUAGGACUCCAAUCCCUGAGUUGAGCGCUUUUCCCUUUAGCCGACAUUAGGGCUCCAAUCACUUAGUUGAGCAUUUUUCCCUUUACCCGGCCUUGUGGAUCCAAUCCCUAAGUUGAGCGCUUUUCCCCUUAGCCGACAUUAGGGCUCCAAUCCCUAAGUUGAGCGGUUUUUCCUUUACCCAACAUUAGGGAUCCAAUCCCUGAGUUGAGCAUUUUUCCCUUAAGCUGACAUUAGGGCUCUAAUCCUUGAGUUGAGCGUUUUUCCCUUUAGCCAACAUUAGGGCUCCAAUCCCUGAGUUGAGGAUUUUUUCCUUUUAGCCAACAUUAGGGUUCCAGUCCCUAAGUUUGCCCCAAAUUAUCUUAGCAUAGACAAAUACAAUUUUCACAAAACAAAAAAAGAGAGAGUUCAGACUUUUUUCACAAAUAACUAACGAAAUUUUCUUAGUGCAAAACUUGGGCAGAAAAUUUUGUUCGUUUGUUUGUUUUGAGCAGGAUUGACCUUGAAGCACAGGUUCCGAUACGAAUGAAAGGAUGAGUCUCAAUCCAGAAUAAAGGAAAGAAGAAAAAGAGCAAAAAGAAAGAAAUUCAAAUGCAUAAGUGAACAUGAGUGCAAGCCAGUCAAAAUUUGAUUGAAAUUACAAGCUUCGCACGACCCGCUCUGCUAAAAUGCUGAAGAAAGAGCUGGCACAUACAGCUUCCCAUCAUCAAGGUUUAGAUCAAGUCCACAGCAAAUCCGUGUGACACUCAAGAUCAAGUUUCAAGAGAUUCACAGAUAGGAAUCUUGUAACUCAUUAGUUGAUAGACAUAGCUAGCUUAGCUUUUGAUUUACUUUUUGUGUAAUAAGUAGGUCAGCAAGCAGUAGCAGCAGCGAAAUCACAGCUCCUGGUAGUCCCAGCUACCAAACCCUCCUGAACUACACCGACCUGAUUCCCUUUUAGCCGAGGAUAUGUAGGCAACCUUUGAAGCAGGGUAGGAUCGACUCUUUAAAAAAUGCUUCACACGAAGUAUUCAAACGGGUAAAAAUCGCUCGUAUUCGCUCACUUAUCUUUGCGCCAAAACUCUUUGUGUUUCCGAAUAAAGAGGGGCAGCUGUGAGCAUGUGAUUUUUGCCCUAUAUAAAUUAUUCCCAAAAAUUCAAACAAAAUGAUUUCUUUCAUUAUUUUGAAAUUUUGUUUAUUUUUGUGGCAUUUUGAUUUAAUUGUUUGCAUUUUGUUUGUGCAUUUUAAUUAAUGAAAAAAACAAAAAUAUACUUGGCAUUUGCAUUUAGGGCUUAAUUUAACAUUUUAGGAUUAACUAGUAAUUAAGUUACUUUAAUAAGAGAAAAUUAACAAAAUUAGUCAUUUUUGCAUAAUUGUUUGCUUUCUCUUCUAACUAGGAUUUAGUCUAUGUUAGGAAUUAAUUAGUUUUAAUUUUAGAGUUUAAAUCAGGUCUUGUCUGUUUUAAUUUUGUACUUGAUAAAAUCUGGAAAAAAAAAUAAAUAAAGGAAGAAAAGAAGAAAACAAAUAAAGAAAUUAAAAAAUAGGAUUUUUUAACAAUUAAAUAGGUUGUAAUUGGGCCAAAAUUUCGAAGCCCAAACCCCAAACCCGUUCAAAUUGUCUAGUCCACAAAGCCACCCGGUCCAGCCCCUCUCCCCAUUGAAACGACGUCGUUUGGCUCCUUUUGAUCUGAGCCGUCGAGGAUACAUGAUCCAAUGGUUCAAAACUGGGUCAAAAUUAAUAUAAAAUGGUCAGAGCCCUACCCCAGCCCCCUCUUCGUCUCUCAGAAGCCCCAUUCACGAAUCCUAAUUCCCCACCACCCUCCACCGGCGGCAAAGUUGCAACUGCCUCCAAAAUUUCACCACAGCUUCGUCUCUUUCUCCCCAUCAUGAGUCCAUGACUAGUUCCCAUAAAAUCCUAACCAAAAACUUCAAAUAUGUCAAACCCUAGGCGCCGCCACCCAAACCAUACCAAAAUAGUACCCCCCCCCCCCNNNNNNNNNNNNNNNNNNNNNNNNNNNNNNNNNNNNNNNNNNNNNNNNNNNNNNNNNNNNNNNNNNNNNNNNNNNNNNNNNNNNNNNNNNNNNNNNNNNNNNNNNNNNNNNNNNNNNNNNNNNNNNNNNNNNNNNNNNNNNNNNNNNNNNNNNNNNNNNNNNNNNNNNNNNNNNNNNNNNNNNNNNNNNNNNNNNNNNNNNNNNNNNNNNNNNNNNNNNNNNNNNNNNNNNNNNNNNNNNNNNNNNNNNNNNNNNNNNNNNNNNNNNNNNNNNNNNNNNNCCCCCCCCAAUCCCCAAGCCACCCUAAGCCCCACACUCAUGGUUAUUUCAAAAAAUCCCAACCGGAUUUCUCCAAUUCCACAUCUAGGGUUCGCAUUUUGGAAGCGGUUGGCCAAGAAAUUGAGAUUCAAUUCUGCCUAUUCUCGGUAUCUUCUUUCCACCCAUUUGUAUUGCGUAUAUUUUCAGUCAUUUCAUCCUCUUUUUUCAUUCUCGGCUAGUUCAACUUAUAUGAUUCAGUCCUUAGCAUUCCUUUUGUUUUUCUUUCUAUGUUUGCUCGUCUCAAUUUUUCCUUUAUUUUUGUCUUUGAUUCAACCUCGUAUAUGUUCUCAUUAGAUUAAUGAUAGAAUUAGUUUUAGAAUCCCUAUUGAUUAGAUUAGAUUAGCUUAGAUGUUUUUCCCUUUAGUUUAAUUUUAGUUCUUUUAGUUUUUUAAUUUAUUUAAGGAUUUCUGAUCAAUCUUUCAAACUAGAAAUUUGGGUUUUGAAUCGAUUCCUAAAAUCAAUAAGCUUAUUUGAAUUGGGUCGUUUGGCUCAAACCUUUGUUUGAUAGACAUAGGUAAUUUUCGGGGGUUUAAGGGUAUAUUGGGUAGUUCUAAUUAGGGAAUCUUGAAAUAAUUGAAUUGGAAACCCCUAGAAUGUUCUAGAUGGGAUGUCAAUUACAGUCUCAGGAACUUAAGAGUUGUAACUUGGGCAACAAGUCAGAAAAUAAGGGACUAAUUGGGUAAAAUUGAAAAAUAAAAAAGGGACUAGGGGUGUAAAGCUGAAAAUCUGAGAGAAUCCUCAAGCUUGCCUAUAAAAGGCAUGCAUUCUGCCUUCAUUCACAAGUUUUGGAACACCUGAAAAAUUCCAAAAAAAAUUUAAGCAUCAAAAUCCCUUCCCUAAAAAGUUUCUACAAGAUUUACAAGCUAAAAAAAUGAAUUUCAAAUCUAACAAACUAGAUCUGAAAUUCUAAAGUCUCUUUAGAUCUUAGUCUUCAAAAACUAAAAAAUAUAUAACUGAAAACCCUAAAAAUACUGUUACAUGAAAUUCCCUUAAAUAAUUUUCGAGUUCUAGCUAUUAAUUCAAGUUUCUAGCCCAGUUAUUUUGCUGUCUGGUGGCUCUAUGCUCCUGUAAUCUAUUCCUGGACUGUUUUGAGCUUAUUCUGGGUUUGAGAUUGAUUUUGGUGCCGUUGUUGUAUUCCAAUUGUUGAUGAUUGUUGUCCCCACUGCUGACUCCUUAUCCUUUUACUUUCUUCAUUUCCAGGUACUUACUUAAUCUCCAAUGGCCACAAGUUAAGGAAACAUGUAACUGAAGUUUUGAUUUGAAAUAAAAGGCCGAUUUAAGUGCUCGAAUUGUUUAUAUGACAGAUUUCUCAUGUUAAUUUCAUGUUUAGCUUGAUCAUGUACAUGUCAAUUUAUAAUUUUGAUUUGAAAUAAAAGGCUGAUUUAAGUGCUCGAAUUGUCUAGAUUAUUGUUCAUUCAUAUGUAUCUUUUAUAUGACAAAUUUCUCAUGUUAAUUUCAUGUUUAGCUUGCUUAUUUACACGUUAGUUAAUAUGUUAGGCCAUGUAGUAGCAGCAUUUGAAACUUGGUGGAUUAGGACUUCUGACAAAUUUGUAUAACUGGAAUGUUCUUUCCUUAAUGUACUAGUUUGUUUUCAGUUAUAGUAUUUUGACUAGUUGGAACUUAAAGGAAUGCUAAUUGGAAUUACAGUAUUAGUGCAUAUUUAGCCUCAUGUCUUAUGUUGAUCAAGUGACUAGUCAUGUAUUUCAUUAAGCUUGAGAAUUUAAUAGCUCCACAUGAUUUGCUUUCAGUGGUGUAUUUCAGGGCGAGUAGUUGUUAGCAUGUGAAAUUAUCUCAAUAGUCUUCAAUUUCAAUUUAUGCCUUGUGUAAAUUAGAGUUUGAGCCAUGUCAUUAGCUCAUCAAUUACAG